UACGUAGGUGGCAAGCGUUGUCCGGAUUUACUGGGCGUAAAGAGCGCGCAGGCGGUCGUUCAAGUCGCGUGUGAAAGCCCCCGGCUCAACUGGGGAGGGUCACGCGAUACUGAUCGACUCGAAGGCAGGAGAGGGAAGUGGAAUUCCCGGUGUAGUGGUGAAAUGCGUAGAGAUCGGGAAGAACACCCGUGGCGAAGGCGGCCGGCUGGGCCGGAUCCGACGCUGAGAUACGAAAGCGUGGGGAGCAAACAGG
rnacentral:rRNA from 1 species